GGCUGUUAACCAAUAAGUUUGAAUUAGACAAGACUCUGAACACAGCUUUAGAAAAUGUACCAAAAGAUCGAAAUGGGAAAAUGUCCCAGGAGUAUUUAAGGGUGGCAAUGGAUUCAGUGGCUCCAUCAGCUGGCCUACCUCCAAUUGGUGCUGUUGACGAGAUAGACAAGGUUAUAGAUGAAGGGCUUAAGAUGAUGAAUGCAGAUGAUGGGAAGCUGGUUAAAGAAGAUGAGUUCAAGGAGAUAUUGACUGAAAUCCUGGGAAGUGUUAUGUUGCAAUUAGAGG
rnacentral:misc_RNA from 1 species